rnacentral:rRNA from 1 species
UACGUAGGGGGCUAGCGUUGUCCGGAAUCAUUGGGCGUAAAGAGCGCGUAGGCGGCUAGAUAAGUCCGGUGUGAAAGUCACAGGCUCAACCUGUGAAUGCCGCUGGAAACUGUCUGGCUAGAGUCCGGAAGGGGCGAGUGGAAUUCCUGGUGUAGCGGUGAAAUGCGCAGAUAUCAGGAGGAACACCAAUGGCGAAGGCAGCUCCCUGGUCCAGCACCGACGUUCAGGCACGAAAGCGUGGGGAGCAAACAGG